GGGACACGUGGUAUCCUGUCUGAAUAUGGGGGGACCAUCCUCCAAGGCUAAAUACUCCUGACUGACCGAUAGUGAACCAGUACCGUGAGGGAAAGGCGAAAAGAACCCCGGCGAGGGGAGUGAAAAAGAACCUGAAACCGUGUACGUACAAGCAGUGGGAGCCUCUUUUAUGGGGUGACUGCGUACCUUUUGUAUAAUGGGUCAGCGACUUAUAUUCUGUAGCAAGGUUAACCGAAUAGGGGAGCCGAAGGGAAACCGAGUCUUAACUGGGCGUUAAGUUGCAGGGUAUAGACCCGAAACCCGGUGAUCUAGCCAUGGGCAGGUUGAAGGUUGGGUAACACUAACUGGAGGACCGAACCGACUAAUGUUGAAAAAUUAGCGGAUGACUUGUGGCUGGGGGUGAAAGGCCAAUCAAACCGGGAGAUAGCUGGUUCUCCCCGAAAGCUAUUUAGGUAGCGCCUCGUGAAUUCAUCUCCGGGGGUAGAGCACUGUUUCGGCAAGGGGGUCAUCCCGACUUACCAACCCGAUGCAAACUGCGAAUACCGGAGAAUGUUAUCACGGGAGACACACGGCGGGUGCUAACGUCCGUCGUGAAGAGGGAAACAACCCAGACCGCCAGCUAAGGUCCCAAAGUCAUGGUUAAGUGGGAAACGAUGUGGGAAGGCCCAGACAGCCAGGAUGUUGGCUUAGAAGCAGCCAUCAUUUAAAGAAAGCGUAAUAGCUCACUGGUCGAGUCGGCCUGCGCGGAAGAUGUAACGGGGCUAAACCAUGCACCGAAGCUGCGGCAGCGACGCUUAUGCGUUGUUGGGUAGGGGAGCGUUCUGUAAGCCUGUGAAGGUGUG
rnacentral:rRNA from 1 species